CUAGUGGCGAACGGGUGAGUAAUACAUCGGAACGUACCGUGUAGUGGGGGAUAACGUAGCGAAAGUUACGCUAAUACCGCAUACGAUCCACGGAUGAAAGCAGGGGACCUUCGGGGCCUUGUGCUAUACGAGCGGCCGAUGUCUGAUUAGCUAGUUGGUGAGGUAAAGGCUCACCAAGGCGACGAUCAGUAGCGGGUCUGAGAGGAUGAUCCGCCACACUGGGACUGAGACACGGCCCAGACUCCUACGGGAGGCAGCAGUGGGGAAUUUUGGACAAUGGGCGCAAGCCUGAUCCAGCCAUGCCGCGUGUCUGAAGAAGGCCUUCGGGUUGUAAAGGACUUUUGUCAGGGAGCAAAACUUACUGGUUAAUACCUGGUGAGGUUGAGAGUACCUGAAGAAUAAGCACCGGCUAACUACGUGCCAGCAGCCGCGGUAAUACGUAGGGUGCAAG
rnacentral:rRNA from 1 species